rnacentral:lncRNA from 1 species
CCCCGCCCCGCCCGCAGCGGGCAGAAGGGUUUCUGGGAAGGGCCUGCGAGUGGGCUGAGCCCUCAGAAAGGGGCGCCUAGGAGACCCGCUCCGAGAAGGCAAUGGCCCCACUCCAGUACUCUUGCCUGGAAAAUCCCAUGGGCGGAGGAGCCCGGUGGGCUGCAGUCCAUGGGGUUGGACACUACUGACGCGACUUAGCAGCAGCAGCAGCAGCAGCAGCAGGAGACCCGCUGCACCGCCCGCCGCAACCGCCCGCCUUCACCUAGCCCUCUUGGCGGGGCCUGGCCGGCCCGCGAGCCCGGCUCCGCAUAUCUCGACCGGCCGCCCCCGCUGGCUCAGGUCUCCGAGACCCAGGCGACAGACAGUACAGAUGGUCGGUGCCCUGCGGCUGCAGAUCCUCCGUGCGCUGCCCAGAGACCCCCAUCAGCGUCAUGGACUCUCCUUCCCUUCCAGGCUGAGCGGCCCGUGCAAGCUCCAUAUUUGUGGCUUCCCUGAGAAUCACCCAGACUUCACUGGAGCUGACCCUCGGCCUCUCAGCCUUUGCUGAGCCACCUCAGUUCUGAAAUGGCAGCGUUUUGCCCGAUAACGGUCAAACGGUGAAGGCAACACCUGGAAUGAAAUUUGUGAUUUAACAGAACGGCUGCUGAAGAGGUUUACCAAGUAUGGCUGGCGUUUUUCUCUGCCAGACAGAGCACACAGCUCUUUACAGUCGGUGAAAAUGGGAGUCCUUCGGUUUCAGGAGCAGAGAGCCCUAGGUGGUGUUCUGAGGCAGAAUUACCAGUCACACUGAUCUUACCAGGUCCCAAUAGCUCAGUCGGUAAAGAGUCUGCCUGCAAUACAGGAGACCUGCGUUCAUUUCCUGGGUUGGGAAGAUCCCCUGGAUAAUGAAAUGGCAACCCACUCCAGU